rnacentral:rRNA from 1 species
UACGUAGGGUGCAAGCGUUGUCCGGAAUUACUGGGCGUAAAGCGUGCGCAGGCGGUUUGCUAAGACCGAUGUGAAAUCCCCGGGCUUAACCUGGGAACUGCAUUGGUGACUGGCAGGCUAGAGUAUGGCAGAGGGGGGUAGAAUUCCACGUGUAGCAGUGAAAUGCGUAGAGAUGUGGAGGAAUACCGAUGGCGAAGGCAGCCCCCUGGGCCAAUACUGACGCUCAUGCACGAAAGCGUGGGGAGCAAACAGG